GAUGAACGCUGGCGGCGUGCCUAAUACAUGCAAGUCGAGCGAACAGACGAGGAGCUUGCUCCUCUAACGUUAGCGGCGGACGGGUGAGUAACACGUGGAUAACCUACCUAUAAGACUGGGAUAACUUCGGGAAACCGGAGCUAAUACCGGAUAAUAUAUUGAACCGCAUGGUUCAAUAGUGAAAGACGGUUUUGCUGUCACUUAUAGAUGGAUCCGCGCCGCAUUAGCUAGUUGGUAAGGUAACAGCUUACCAAGGCAACGAUGCGUAGCCGACCUGAGAGGGUGAUCGGCCACACUGGAACUGAGACACGGUCCAGACUCCUACGGGAGGCAGCAGUAGGGAAUCUUCCGCAAUGGGCGAAAGCCUGACGGAGCUACGCCGCGUGAGUGAUGAAGGUCUUCGGAUCGUAAAACUCUGUUAUUAGGGAAGAACAAAUGUGUAAGUAACUAUGCACGUCUUGACGGUACCUAAUCAGAAAGCCACGGCUAACUACGUG
rnacentral:rRNA from 1 species